rnacentral:rRNA from 1 species
GUAACACUAACUGGAGGACCGAACCGACUAAUGUUGAAAAAUUAGCGGAUGACCUGUGGCUGGGGGUGAAAGGCCAAUCAAACCGGGAGAUAGCUGGUUCUCCCCGAAAGCUAUUUAGGUAGCGCCUCGUGAAUUCAUCUCCGGGGGUAGAGCACUGUUUCGGCUAGGGGGCCAUCCCGGCUUACCAACCCGAUGCAAACUGCGAAUACCGGAGAAUGUUAUCACGGGAGACACACGGCGGGUGCUAACGUCCGUCGUGAAGAGGGAAACAACCCAGACCGCCAGCUAAGGUCCCAAAGUCAUGGUUAAGUGGGAAACGAUGUGGGAAGGCCCAGACAGCCAGGAUGUUGGCUUAGAAGCAGCCAUCAUUUAAAGAAAGCGUAAUAGCUCACUGGUCGAGUCGGCCUGCGCGGAAGAUGUAACGGGGCUAAACCAUGCACCGAAGCUGCGGCAGCGACACUCAGGUGUUGUUGGGUAGGGGAGCGUUCUGUAAGCCUGUGAAGGUGGCCUGUGAGGGUUGCUGGAGGUAUCAGAAGUGCGAAUGCUGACAUAAGUAACGAUAAAGCGGGUGAAAAGCCCGCUCGCCGGAAGACCAAGGGUUCCUGUCCAACGUUAAUCGGGGCAGGGUGAGUCGACCCCUAAGGCGAGGCCGAAAGGCGUAGUCGAUGGGAAACGGGUUAAUAUUCCCGUACUUGGUGUUACUGCGAAGGGGGGACGGAGAAGGCUAUGUUGGCCGGGCGACGGUUGUCCCGGUUUAAGCGUGUAGGUGUGUGUUCCAGGUAAAUCCGGUUCACUUUAACACUGAGGCGUGAUGACGAGGCACUACGGUGCUGAAGCAACAAAUGCCCUGCUUCCAGGAAAAGCCUCUAAGCAUCAGGUAACAUCAAAUCGUACCCCAAACCGACACAGGUGGUCAGGUAGAGAAUACCAAGGCGCUUGAGAGAACUCGGGUGAAGGAACUAGGCAAAAUGGUGCCGUAACUUCGGGAGAAGGCACGCUGACACGUAGGUGAAGUGAUUUACUCAUGGAGCUGAAGUCAGUCGAAGAUACCAGCUGGCUGCAACUGUUUAUUAAAAACACAGCACUGUGCAAACACGAAAGUGGACGUAUACGGUGUGACGCCUGCCCGGUGCCGGAAGGUUAAUUGAUGGGGUCAGCGCAAGCGAAGCUCCUGAUCGAAGCCCCGGUAAACGGCGGCCGUAACUAUAACGGUCCUAAGGUAGCGAAAUUCCUUGUCGGGUAAGUUCCGACCUGCACGAAUGGCGUAAUGAUGGCCAGGCUGUCUCCACCCGAGACUCAGUGAAAUUGAACUCGCUGUGAAGAUGCAGUGUACCCGCGGCAAGACGGAAAGACCCCGUGAACCUUUACUAUAGCUUGACACUGAACAUUGAGCCUUGAUGUGUAGGAUAGGUGGGAGGCUUUGAAGUGUGGACGCCAGUCUGCAUGGAGCCGACCUUGAAAUACCACCCUUUAAUGUUUGAUGUUCUAACGUGGACCCGUAAUCCGGGUUGCGGACAGUGUCUGGUGGGUAGUUUGACUGGGGCGGUCUCCUCCUAAAGAGUAACGGAGGAGCACGAAGGUUGGCUAAUCCUGGUCGGACAUCAGGAGGUUAGUGCAAUGGCAUAAGCCAGCUUGACUGCGAGCGUGACGGCGCGAGCAGGUGCGAAAGCAGGUCAUAGUGAUCCGGUGGUUCUGAAUGGAAGGGCCAUCGCUCAACGGAUAAAAGGUACUCCGGGGAUAACAGGCUGAUACCGCCCAAGAGUUCAUAUCGACGGCGGUGUUUGGCACCUCGAUGUCGGCUCAUCACAUCCUGGGGCUGAAGUAGGUCCCAAGGGUAUGGCUGUUCGCCAUUUAAAGUGGUACGCGAGCUGGGUUUAGAACGUCGUGAGACAGUUCGGUCCCUAUCUGCCGUGGGCGCUGGAGAACUGAGGGGGGCUGCUCCUAGUACGAGAGGACCGGAGUGGACGCAUCACUGGUGUUCGGGUUGUCAUGCCAAUGGCACUGCCCGGUAGCUAAAUGCGGAAGAGAUAAGUGCUGAAAGCAUCUAAGCACGAAACUUGCCCCGA